ACAGCCUGGAGGCAGCUCAGGGGCUGUGGGCAGGGCCCUUUGAUUGCUGUGUGACCUUGAUGUGCAGGGAACCAGUUCAAAUUCCAUCCUUUGUGCUCUGAAGACCAGCACUUCAGGGAGAAAAUGAAGAAAGAGGCUUAUCAGCACCUCCCUCUCUGGAGUCUUCUCCCUUCUGCACAGCUGAGGAUAACAAGUGAAUGGUGUGUACCAUUUUGGGAAGCUGAGAUGGGAGGAUCACUUGAGGCCAGGAGUUCGAGACCAGCCUGGGCAAUAUAGCGAGAUGUCAUCUCUACAAAAAAUGU
rnacentral:lncRNA from 10 species